GUGCUCGCUUCGGCAGUACACGUACUAAAAUUGGAACUAUACAGAGAAGAUUAGCAUGGCCCCUGCGCAAUGAUGACACGCAAAUUCAUGAAGCAUUCCAAUUUUAA
ensembl:snRNA U6 U6 spliceosomal RNA